AUGAGAGGGAAUCAGGCGCCACGUUGCAGCGAGCUGGGCUUAAUGCGAACCAGUCUGGGUCAGUGAGUGAGACGCUGAAGGCUGUCUCGGUGAAAUUGUUUCAGUUUCAUGCUCAUGUUCGUACUCGCAAUGCCAGUGUGGAUGUGUGUACAGGACAGGAGGAUGGAGGUGUUGGUGGCCAAACAGGGACUGGCUUGUCCUGCAGACUUGAGCAUCUACCACCAACAUGCUGUCUGUCUUAAUCCAGUAAAUGAACUACAGUGUUCCUCUUUCUUGUUUUAACGGUCGUAAUGAAGACCAUGAAAAGAAGAUUAGCUGGAGCCGUGGCAGCAGACCAUCUGGGGACCGUCAUCACGAGACUGUAGGGACCAGCGCUUGUUGUGUGAGCUGGCAGCCUCCAGCUCGUCCACAUGACUGACAUAAAUGGCGCAGUCUUAGAAAAAGAAUAGUGAAUUUGUGUUCUCUCAUUUAUCACAUUACACAGACAUGCACCUAUAGGCGAUCAGAACAAUAGCGCAUGGCAGCCCCCUUGACAUAUCAUUAGUGACAUCAAACAGAUGCUUGUGAUCUGUGCCGCUAAUUUCAUUAGCUUCUCCGGCUAACCAUAAGAGUGUCUUCUCAUUGUGUGGAAGAACAGGGUAAGAUUUCAGACAAGAUUGUAUACGUUUCCUCUGUUUGGUGCUUUUUAGAGUUUUUUUUUUCUCUUCCGCAUUUCAGUAGUUGCGGCAUACAGUAGCUCAGAUAAGUCACACAGCCAUCCUUGAUGCUGUGAUGAAUCACUAGAGGCAAUAAAGUCUCAGGUACUGUCAGGUGUACUGUUACUAUUAGAUGCAAAAAAGAAUUAACUGGCGUAGGAUUUUAACAAUAAGUGCAUCAGGAAUGAAGGCACUGUGCACGAACCACAACAUUGCAUAUUCUAUUGAACAUAUUUCUUUUUUCACCUCUCUCUUGCAAAGAUCUCCAGUAAAAGAAUAAAAAUUCCCAACCUACCUAAAGCACUUUUAACAGGAUGUGAGCACACCUGGUGUAGAUCGGAGGGACAUUGCGCAGAGACUUCCGCGAGGCCUCUCCCGAUCUAAUAUGCAAUCCCAGAGGCCUAAUGGGAGAAUGGGGUUAAUUAAUCCUGGAGGACAUAUCAGAUUGAGGAGAGGGGCUCCUCAGCCCCCUAGAUCUUCCCUCCAUAAAGGUCACACUUCACAAUAAGGGAACAGUGCAUGUGUUACCCCCUCUGAGGACUUAUCAUCCCCUCCCUCAAAACAUCUAAUUUGAUCUCCUUUCUUCAAUCAGCCUGAAAACAAACCCCGAAACACACUGGGACAUUAAGUGCUAAUACUAAAUGUCGUCCCCAGGCCCUGAUUCAUCCAUAGAUCUGUGACAAAGCGCCCUGAGAGACGAUAGGGUCUGGUGCUAAAUGUCUGCCACUGGCUAAACAUCAUUUGUGUGCUGACGUUAGAUGCUAAAGAGUGUCUCUAGGCCUUGGUUGCGUGACCGUGGCCAGUGAUUUAUGGGUCAUCAUUUGGGCGACAUUUUCCUCUGGUCCAACAUUCUAGUCAGUUGGCAUUACACUACUUUCUUUACACCUUCCCUGCACUGUGGCGUGUUCAAGGGGAAACUGUGCUCAAGUGUGGGCACGUGCCACGAAAGCCGUCCCCAGCCUUUGCCUCGGCCUCGUUGCUGCAGGGAUUUUCUGUUGCAGACGACACUGUUGUAGAUGAGCACAUCCAUGAAGGACUUAAUACUAUGUGAUGUAAAGAGGUUUGUCUCCAUACUAUAAUGGCCCUGACUCUUCUUCGAGCAUCAAAGAGAUCAAUGUCAAAUAAACCAAAGAUUGGCAUAACUGAAAAAUCCAACGGAAGAAAUUUAAAGGCUAAAUAUAAGCGUUUUUUCGUUACUUGUUCUUCUUCUUCCACUCUUUAGGUUGUCAACAACGGCCGUAAACUCUUUCCCUCACUUGCUUCUCCGCUCCUUGAUCCAGCAGAUAGGGUAGUGGAAGGGUUUUGGCUACAGGAAGUGUGUCUCCCCUGGGCUGCAGCGGAGCUCCUGUCCCCUUCUUUCUCUGCAGCUGGAGCUACCAGAGCCAGAUGCUUCGUAGCUCCACCACCCUCUGUCCCCCCUUUCUCUCUUCCAGGAGGAUGGUGCCCAGAGAGGAGGAUGACAAACGCCUCUGCCUCCUCUUACUGACGGAUUUGGACGACCUGACUCCAGCCCCGCACUGUUCCAACCGCCAGCACAAGAUGUUGACUUAAUGGAAGGGGGUUGGCUGUGGAUGGGCCCAUAUGCGUUUGUAUUGGGAAAAUAUGGCAGGGCGGUGUGUCUGUGUAUUCAAUAGUAUUGUCUGUGUGUGUAUGUUUGUGUGUGUGUGCUUGUCUUUUCACCUAGCCCAGACUGCCUACAUCCAUCAUGCCAUGGCGCUCUGGCAAAGUGUGGGACUCAGACAGCUUCACUAACACACGAGCAGUGUCCGGAUGUGCUGUAAUACCUGAGCUUUGGAAAUGUGUCUACAGCCCCACAGCCCAAAUAUGAUGAGAAAUGAUAAGGAACAGAGGGGGAGCAUUUAUAGGCCUUCGGAGUGGCACUUUUCUACACCAGGUCUGUCCACACCUGUUGCACACCGAGCAUGCUCAGAAUUUAAAACACAGCAGUGACUAUGUACCUGCCCAUGUAUUAAUACGCUCAUAAUCAAUCUGCCCUUGUCUCCCCAGCAACCGGUAAAAGCAGCAGCUGCUGCGGGGAAAUGCAGCUUAUAGGACUCGCAAUGAAGGUGGUGUUUUUU